rnacentral:rRNA from 1 species
GGGUUCGAUUCCGGAGAGGGAGCCUGAGAAACGGCUACCACAUCCAAGGAAGGCAGCAGGCGCGCAAAUUACCCAAUCCCAAUACGGGGAGGUAGUGACAAUAAAUAACAAUAUGGGGCUCUUACGGGUCUCGUAAUUGGAAUGAGUACAAUUUAAAUCUCUUAACGAGGAACAAUUGGAGGGCAAGUCUGGUGCCAGCAGCCGCGGUAAUUCCAGCUCCAAUAGCGUAUAUUAAAGUUGUUGCAGUUAAAAAGCUCGUAGUUGAAUUUCGGAGUUUGUCGGUUGGUCGGGCUUCACUGUCCGCACUGGCCUGAUGGAUUCCUACCUUCUGAAUAACCAGCAUGCUAUUAAGUUAGUGCGUUGGGGAAGCAGAGCUAUUACCUUGAAAAAAUUAGAGUGCUUAAAGCAGGCUUAUGCUUGAAUAGAUUAGCAUGGAAUAAUAAAAUAGGACGGCAUGGUUCUAUUUUGUUGGUUUCUAGGAUCACCGUAAUGAUUAAUAGGGAUAGUUGGGGGCAUUAGUAUUCAAUUGUCAAAGGUGAAAUUCUUGGAUUUAUUGAAGACUAACUUCUGCGAAAGCAUUUGCCAAGGAUGUUUUCAUUAAUCAAGAACGAAAGUUAGGGGAUCGAAGAC